rnacentral:rRNA from 1 species
AUUGAACGCUGGCGGAAUGCUUUACACAUGCAAGUCGAACGGCAGCACGGACUUCGGUCUGGUGGCGAGUGGCGAACGGGUGAGUAAUGUAUCGGAACGUGCCCAGUCGUGGGGGAUAACGUAGUGAAAAUUACGCUAACACCGCAUACGAUCUAUGGAUGAAAGCGGGGGAUCGCAAGACCUCGCGCGAUUGGAGCGGCCGAUAUCAGAUUAGGUAGUUGGCGGGGUAAAGGCCCACCAAGCCAACGAUCUGUAGCUGGUCUGAGAGGACGACCAGCCACACUGGAACGGAGACGCGGUCCAGACUCCUACGGGAGGCAGCAGUGGGGAAUUUUGGACAAUGGGCGAAAGCCUGAUCCAGCCAUUCCGCGUGCAGGAUGAAGGCCCUCGGGUUGUAAACUGCUUUUGUACAGAACGAAAAGGUUUCUACUCAUACUAGGAGCUCAUGACGGUACUGUAAGAAUAAGCACCGGCUAACUACGUGCCAGCCGCCGCCGUAA